GAAAUGCGAUAAGUAGUGUGAAUUGCAGAAUUCAGUGAAUCGUCGAAUCUUUGAACGCACAUUGCGCCCCUUGGUAUUCCAUGGGGCAUGCCUGUUCGAGCGUCAUUUGUACCCUCAAGCUCUGCUUGGUGUUGGGUGUUUGUCCCGUCUCCGCGCGUGGACUCGCCCCAAAGUGAUUGGCAGCCGGCGUACUGGUCCCGGAGCGCAGCACAUGUCGCGCAAACGAGUGCCUUGGUACGGCGGCGUCCAUAAGCCCCUCUCUCACGCUCUUGACCUCGGAUCAGGUAGGGAUACCCGCUGAACUUAAGC
rnacentral:misc_RNA from 1 species